UGUCUGGAGAUGGGAAGCGAACCCAUAUUGUACUGCUUACCGGGAAGAUGCCAUGUCCACUAGGCUACCCUGGAC